rnacentral:rRNA from 1 species
UACGGAGGGGGCUAGCGUUGUUCGGAUUCAUUGGGCGUAAAGGGUGCGUAGGCGGCGCGGUAAGUCGGGUGUGAAAUCUCGGAGCUUAACUCCGAAACUGCAUUCGAUACUGCCGUGCUUGAGGACUGGAGAGGAGACUGGAAUUUACGGUGUAGCGGUGAAAUGCGUAGAUAUCGUAAGGAAGACCAGUGGCGAAGGCGGGUCUCUGGACAGUUCCUGACGCUGAGGCACGAAGGCCAGGGGAGCAAACGGG